AAGGAAGGAGGAAAAAGAAAAGG
rnacentral:piRNA from 1 species